GGGUUCAGAACGUCGUGAGACAGUUCGGUCCCUAUCCGUCGCAGGCGUAGGAAAUUUGAGAAGACCUGGCCUUAGUACGAGAGGACCGGGAUGGACGUACCUCUGGUGUACCAGUUGUUCUGCCAAGGGCAUGGCUGGGUAGCUAUGUACGGAAUGGAUAAGCGCUGAAAGCAUCUAAGCGCGAAGCCAACUUCAAGAUAAGAUGUCCCACCGCAAGGGUAAGACCCCAGAAAGACUAUCUGGUUGAUAGGUCGAAGGUGUAAGUGCAGCAAUGUAUUUAGCUUAUCGAUACUAAUAGGUCGAGGACUUGACCAAU
rnacentral:rRNA from 1 species